rnacentral:RNase_MRP_RNA from 1 species
GGGAGUGGUGGGCAGAGCACACCUCAUCGUUCAUACGGGGUUGAUGCUUCUUCUAUUGCCUUAGGCGGAGGAAGUCGACUCAGCCUUUUAAGUUGAGGGGAAAGUCCCCGGGCCUUCAGGCCGAGAGGGUCGGGAUUAACAGUCCGCCAGUUUGGCAGCGAGCUUCGUCCCGCUCAGCUGGCUAGCUAGUUGGGUGGGCCCCUGCGACCGAGUACGGAAGGAGGGGAUAAGCAGCUCCAGACGCCUUGCAAUUGGCAGUUGAGGUGUUCUGAAACCUUAGGAUGCCGCGUAUCAGGAUUCAGUUGAUGUGCUCAGCGCGAUACCGCGCCAACAGAAUGGGGCUUACGUCCUGCACACUCC